UGGCUUCGUGGCCUAGUGGUUAUGGCAUCCCACUCGUAUCUUCAUGGUGCUAAUGGGGGGUCCCGCGUUCAAAUCGCGGCGGAGCCAU
rnacentral:tRNA from 1 species